GACUAUCUCGCCAGCUGGUGACAGUAUAACCCUUCUUCUGUGCCAACGGGCACACAAAAUAUCCACAGCUCUGCCAGCUUUUGAGUGCGCACCUAGAUCAUCUGUAUUUGCUAGUUGGUAAGAAGACCAGCUAGAGCUUAAUUUAGCAGAUUAAAUAUAUACACAUAUGUCUUUCCAUGAGCUUCUCCAUAAGUGAGCAUGCAUAUAUAAAAGCACUUUAUCUGCAUUUUACAUAGUUCAGUUCAGUUUGCUUCCCUUUCAGUCCCCUCAGUUUUGCAGUUGCUACAAUUGCAAACGAGUCUCUGUGGCCAGAGGGGCCAGUAUGGGUUUUAAACUGAGUCCUUGCAAAGAACUAAGUUAGCAAUUAAACACAGGUGUAGCAGAUUAGAUGAAAAUAUCCUUGCACUGUGCCUUUAAAUUAACCCCUUACAGAGUCCUGCUUAGUUGCCGGGUACAGACAGGACAGGGAGGAAGAAAAAAAAAAGAAGAAGGGGGAAACAGACUCUGGGUUCAGUCCUUACAACAGUUGUUAUACAGUAGUACCUCCCUUUUCUGCUCCUCUGAUGUCCCUUUGAACUUGGGGGUACUCCAGGAGAUUCUCUGCCUGUCUUUAUCACGGCUCCUGUUUCCUCUCACUCCUGUAUAGCAAGGAACAAAUACAGUGGGGAGGGGGGGGGGAGUUGACCCGCUGGAAAGACAGAUAGGGUUGUUUCUAUUAUUGCUUCAGUGCUUUUGAGUUAAUGUUUUACAACCUCCCAGCAUAAAUCACUCCAUUGAAUUCACCGCUGGCCUCUCACAGCAUAAGAACCACACAAUCCAACAUUGCAGUGUUAUUAUACGUUUUUGUUUUUUUACUUUUUUAAGCUUUUUAGACAUAGUUCAGAAAAACAGCUCCUUUCUUCUUCCCUCGUAUAUCACAUUUCACAGUGUUGCAGCUGCUUUGUUUACUAUUGACUUAACGGCUGAUAAUUUUCCUCUCUUGCUCUUUACCUUUCUCCUAUCUCCUCGCUUACCUCCUACGUGCUGGCCGUGCUGGCCGCAUGUGUCUCUCUUUUCUUUUCCUGCUCUCCCUUCACUGAGGGGGGUUGGGGAGGGGGAGAAAGCCUGCUGAAGAGACGGAUGAGGAGAUGGAUGGGAGCCCGCUACGUCCAGGAUUAUCUCUGCAGUCUCUGGUUCUCUGCAGCCUCUGGUUUCUUCAUUUGGAGUCUCCACAUUCUCUCUUUGUGCUCUGGGUAUUG